rnacentral:rRNA from 1 species
AAUGAACGCUGGCGGCAGGCCUAACACAUGCAAGUCGAACGAGUGGCGGACGGGUGAGUAAUGUCUGGGAAACUGCCUGAUGGAGGGGGAUAACUACUGGAAACGGUAGCUAAUACCGCAUACCAUCAGAUGUGCCCAGAUGGGCUUAGCUUGUUGGUGGGGUAACGGCUCAUAAAGGAGAAGAUCCCGAGCGGGUCUGAGAGGAGGACCAGCCAAACGGGAACGGAGACACGGUCCAGACCCCUACGGGAGGCAGCAGUGGGAAAGAUUGCACAAUGGGCGCAAGCCUGAGGCAGCCAUGCCGCGUGUAUGAAGAAGGCCUUAGGGUUGUAAAGUACUUUCAGCGGGGAGGCGUUACCCGCAGAAGAAGCACCGGCUAACUCCGUGCCAGCAGCCGCGGUAAUUC